rnacentral:rRNA from 1 species
UGAGUUAUGUCAUGUUAUCGAUAUGUGAAUACAUAGCAUAUCAGAAGGCACACCCGGAGAACUGAAACAUCUUAGUACCCGGAGGAAGAGAAAGAAAAUUCGAUUCCCUUAGUAGCGGCGAGCGAAACGGGAAGAGCCCAAACCAACAAGCUUGCUUGUUGGGGUUGUAGGACACUCUAUACGGAGUUACAAAGGACGACAUUAGACGAAUCAUCUGGAAAGAUGAAUCAAAGAAGGUAAUAAUCCUGUAGUCGAAAAUGUUGUCUCUCUUGAGUGGAUCCUGAGUACGACGGAGCACGUGAAAUUCCGUCGGAAUCUGGGAGGACCAUCUCCUAAGGCUAAAUACUCUCUAGUGACCGAUAGUGAACCAGUACCGUGAGGGAAAGGUGAAAAGCACCCCGGAAGGGGAGUGAAAUAGAACCUGAAACCGUGUGCUUACAAGUAGUCAGAGCCCGUUAAUGGGUGAUGGCGUGCCUUUUGUAGAAUGAACCGGCGAGUUACGAUUUGAUGCAAGGUUAAGCAGUAAAUGUGGAGCCGUAGCGAAAGCGAGUCUGAAUAGGGCGUUUAGUAUUUGGUCGUAGACCCGAAACCAGGUGAUCUACCCUUGGUCAGGUUGAAGUUCAGGUAACACUGAAUGGAGGACCGAACCGACUUACGUUGAAAAGUGAGCGGAUGAACUGAGGGUAGCGGAGAAAUUCCAAUCGAACCUGGAGAUAGCUGGUUCUCUCCGAAAUAGCUUUAGGGCUAGCCUCAAGUGAUGAUUAUUGGAGGUAGAGCACUGUUUGGACGAGGGGCCCCUCUCGGGUUACCGAAUUCAGACAAACUCCGAAUGCCAAUUAAUUUAACUUGGGAGUCAGAACAUGGGUGAUAAGGUCCGUGUUCGAAAGGGAAACAGCCCAGACCACCAGCUAAGGUCCCAAAAUAUAUGUUAAGUGGAAAAGGAUGUGGCGUUGCCCAGACAACUAGGAUGUUGGCUUAGAAGCAGCCAUCAUUUAAAGAGUGCGUAAUAGCUCACUAGUCGAGUGACACUGCGCCGAAAAUGUACCGGGGCUAAACAUAUUACCGAAGCUGUGGAUUGUCCUUUGGACAAUGGUAGGAGAGCGUUCUAAGGGCGUUGAAGCAUGAUCGUAAGGACAUGUGGAGCGCUUAGAAGUGAGAAUGCCGGUGUGAGUAGCGAAAGACGGGUGAGAAUCCCGUCCACCGAUUGACUAAGGUUUCCAGAG